rnacentral:rRNA from 1 species
CAGCAGCCGCGGGAAUACAGAGGGUGCGAGCGUUAAUCGGAUUUACUGGGCGUAAAGCGCGCGUAGGUGGUUUGUUAAGUUGGAUGUGAAAUCCCCGGGCUCAACCUGGGAACUGCAUCCAAAACUGGCAAGCUAGAGUAUGGUAGAGGGUGGUGGAAUUUCCUGUGUAGCGGUGAAAUGCGUAGAUAUAGGAAGGAACACCAGUGGCGAAGGCGACCACCUGGACUGAUACUGACACUGAGGUGCGAAAGCGUGGGGAGCAAACAGGAUUAGAUACCCGAGUAGUCCCUGUCUCUUAUAC